AGGGAACGGCUACCCACUCCAGUAUUCCAGCCUGGAGAAUUCCAUGGACUGUCUAGUCCAUGGGGUCACAAAGAGUUGGACACGAAUGAGUGACUUUCACUUUCACUUUUCUCACUUCUCUUUUUGACGCCAAUGAGGACUCCACCUGAGUUUGUUUUUUUGUUUUUUGUUGUUUUUUUUUUUAGUUAAAGAUGCAGAACCUCUCAGAGUUGAAUUGCUAAUCAGCAUCUAUAGGGUAAAAGUGACAGAAAGUAUGGAUGUCCUCCCGCCAGCUGGGGUCUUUCAUAGCCCUGCUUUGAACCAUGGCCUCUGCAAUGGCCCAGCUGGGGAGGUGAUUCCACUUCUCCUUUGAGCCACUUCUCUUGAGUCUGGCUGUCCUUGAGUGUUUCUGUGGGGACAGCAAGUGGGGGCUCCCCCCACUGCCCUGAACUCACCUAAAGGGAUGGACUGCUUUUGAAGGACCUGGAGGGCUGAUCCCCUUCUUCUUCAUCUUGCACCCACUGUUUAUUCCUUGUCCUUUUACGUCUGAGGGUCUUCACUGGGGUCUGGAGGGCAGGGGUGCAGCAGACAGAGGCCUAGAAGGCUGUAUGCAAACACAUUCAACCUGAAUGAACCAAAAAGAGAGAAAACAAACCUUUAAAAAAAUGAACUCCCUUAAGAGAGUCCCUAGGGGGUCUGUAGCCCUGGCUGCUUCUCUCAAGACUGCACACUCUGCUCGGUGGGAGCAGAUGGCCUGCUGGAGACUUCAGGCAAACUUCCUGUUACUCUGCUGAGACCAUGAGGCCCUCCCUAGUCUCUGCCUGCUGUGCCAGUCUGGGUUGCGGAGUCUUGGGCCUACUGGGCUCCCAGUCCAGGCUAGAAGAGACCACAAGAGCCAGAGCCAGCAGGAGGAGUCUGGGCCCCCUCCCCACCCACACCCCCACCAGGGCCCCUGCUGCCAGAGGAAGAGCAUCACCUUGUUAUGCGAAGACCAGAGUCGAGAAAGGCCUGGCCCCAAGCCAGCCCAGACCCAGCAGCAUCCGUACAGUGGGAGCAUGACCCCUGCCCUGCCACCUCACGCUCCAGCCUUGACCUCAGCCUUCUCACCUCUGAUCCGCCUGACCAGCCCUCCUUCUCUCUCAGACCAGCUCCUGCUGUCCCCCCAGGCCCUGGGGUGGUGGAAAAUGCCUUUCCCCCCAGCCCCCACCCACACAGAAUAGGCCAAUUCACCAGAAGAAACACCAGCACUACCCAGUUCCAAAUGCCCUGGGAAGAGACUGAAUGGCCAGCCGGGCUCAUGCGCAUCUAGGCAGAGGUGUCUUGUUGAACCACAGGUAGUGACCCAGGACCAAUGUGGUGGAGCGGGUAGAACGGCUGCAGGCAGACAGAUGGCUGUGGCUAAGGGGCUUUGGAGGAUGCUCCAAAAACACGUCCAGCCUGAGAUGCCAUCUUACAUCGAGGGAUGUCGGAACAGAGCUGAUGAGCUGAGGCAUGGACACACCGAGCGGGAGCAGCUGAUGCGACUUUGAAUGUGGUAUCUGCAGGAGUCCGGAGUCUCAUGCUCUGGAGAGGUCCAGCUGGAGGUGUGCUUCUGGGAGCAUCAGCUUCCAGGAGUUUUCCUUCCGAGGAACAAGUAUCUUUUGAUUUCAUGGCUGCACGAGAAAGAUGCAUGAGAAAGAUGCAAACAUCAGCAAGAAAGAUGUCACCAAGUCACAAAUAUCAUGUGGAGAAGGGCAAGAAAGAAGAGAGAGGCACAAGGACCACAAUAUUUUGCUUCUAAAUUAAAAUAUCUGUUUCUGUUUCAUUGAAAAAAAAUAUGAAACUUUGGCCACUGGAAUUUCUUCUUUGCUGAAAGAUGCUUUAUAAUAAAGAAAUACUCUUGGGAUUUGCUCACAUCUGAAGAUUCUGAACAACUGCCUUUUUUCUCCUUCUUAAUGACAGGAAAUAGGAGAUUUGACGGGGUGUUUAACCAGACUUGCAAGCCCAGUCUGCAUCUUGAAAGAGGAAAUGACCAGAGGUGGAGUUAGGGGUGGGGAAGGGGGAAGAGUGAGGCCUGAGAUGCCUGUGUUGCAGAUCCCAGGAGUCAGCUCUGGGCUUUGAUCUGCAGGGUCCAGAGGAGGAAACUCAUGGGCCAGAGGAGAGGCACGGCCUGGGUGAGCUGGCAGGAAGCCUGGGCUACGAACAACAGGCAAAAAGGCUUGGGAGUCAUCCCUGUUGCCUGCAUAAGCAGGAGUUCUGUCCCAGGGGGCAAUCUGGAUGUUUGAUAACUUGAGAACAGACAGAAGAAGCUGUGAAGAAAUGAUGUGGGUUACUGGGGGUGGUUAGCCUGUGGGCCUCAGUGGGACAGGAAGUGGGACCUGAGAAAGUAAUGUGACAAUGCCUGAUCAGCCCAAGCUGGGGAAAGGAAAUAUUAAGCCUCAUCUUCUUCUGGGUGAGCGAAGCGGGCAUGGUGGGAUCCUGCUGUCCCAGUGUCAAGGCAGAGGUGCAGGCAGGGCCGCAGCAGUCUGUGGGCUGAACUGACCAAGACCCGGGCAUCAUCUCCCCUGAAACCUGGGGCCUCCUCUGAGACAUCUGUUGACUUAAAGACACAGUAAGAGCUGUAAAUUUAAGUUUUAUUCAGGGUCUUGCUGAAGACAAUAACCUGGGAGACAGCC